UACAGAGGGUGCAAGCGUUGUUCGGAUUUACUGGGCGUAAAGCGUGCGUAGGUUGUAUUGAGAGUCGCGGGUGAAAUCCCAGGGCUUAACCCUGGAACUGCCUGCGAGACCUCAGUACUGGAGUAUGAAAGAGGAUAGUGGAAUUCCUGGUGUAGCGGUGAAAUGCGUAGAGAUCAGGAGGAACACCUGUGGCGAAGGCGGCUAUCUGGUUCAUUACUGACACUGAGGCACGAAAGCGUGGGUAGCAAACAGG
rnacentral:rRNA from 1 species